AUUUGUCUGGUUAAUUCCGAUAACGAACGAGACCUUAACCUGCUAACUAGUUCUCAAUACUCUGUAUUCUGCAACUUCUUAGAGGGACUAUGUAAAUCAAUUACAUGGAAGUUUGAGGCAAUAACAGGUCAGUGAUGCCCUUAUAUGUCCUGGGCUGCACGCGUGCUACACUGAUGCAUACAACAAGUGCCUAGCCAGACAUGGUAUAGCAAUCUCGAAUAUGCAUCGUGAUGGGGAUAGAUCUUUGCAAUUAUAGAUCUUGAACGAGGAAUUCCUAGUAAGUGCAAGUCAUCAUCUUGCAUUGAUUAUGUCCCUGCCCUUUGUACACACCGCCCGUCGCUCCUACCGAUACCGGGUGAUCCGGUGAACCUUUUGGACUCCGUACGGGGGAAGAUAAGUAAACCAUAUCACCUAGAGGAAGGAGAAGUCGUAACAAGGUUUCCGUAGGUGAACCUGCRGAAGGAUCA
rnacentral:rRNA from 1 species